rnacentral:piRNA from 1 species
AGUGCAUUCGCUGUAAGCUCUAAGACAGG